GGAAGUAAAAGUCGUAAUAAGGUUUCCGUAGGUGAACCUGCGGAAGGAUCAUUAUUGCAUAACCGAGGUGCGAGGGCUGUCGCUGACCCGAAAGGUCGUGCACGCCCGAGUGCCCUCACACACAUCCAUCUCACCCCUAUGUGCACCACCGCGUGGGUCCCCCUUUGGCUUGUUCGGAGGGGGGCUUACGUUUUCACACAAACUUUGUAUGCAGUGUAGAAUGUAUUUUUUGUUUUUGCGAUCACGCAAUCAAUACAACUUUCAACAACGGAUCUCUUGGCUCUC
rnacentral:misc_RNA from 1 species